UACGGAGGGUGCAAGCGUUAUCCGGAAUCAUUGGGUUUAAAGGGUCCGCAGGCGGAUUUAUAAGUCAGUGGUGAAAGCCUACAGCUUAACUGUAGAACUGCCAUUGAAACUGUAAGUCUUGAAUUCGGUCGAAGUGGGCGGAAUAUGACAUGUAGCGGUGAAAUGCUUAGAUAUGUCAUAGAACACCGAUAGCGAAGGCAGCUCACUAGGCCUGGAUUGACGCUCAGGGACGAAAGCGUGGGGAGCAAACAGG
rnacentral:rRNA from 1 species